AUUGAACGCUGGCGGCAUGCCUAACACAUGCAAGUCGAACGGUAACAGGCCCUUCGGGUGCUGACGAGUGGCGGAUGGGUGAGUAAUACUUAGGAAUCUACCCUGUAGUGGGGGACAACCCGGGAAACGUCGGGCUAAUACCGCAUACGCUCUACGGAGGAAAGCGGGGGACCGCAAGGCCUCGCGCUAUUGGAUGAGCCUAAGCCCGAUUAGCUAGUUGGUGGGGUAAUAGCCACCAAGGCAAUGAUUGGUAGCUGGUCUGAGAGGACGACCAGCCACACUGGGACUGAGACACGGCCCAGACUCCUACGGGAGGCAGCAGUGGGGAAUAUUGGACAAUGGGCGAAAGCCUGAUCCAGCCAUGCC
rnacentral:rRNA from 1 species